rnacentral:tRNA from 1 species
GGGCUGUUAGCUCAAUGGUAGAGCAGCUGACUCUUAAUCAGUAGGUUCCAGGUUCGAGUCCCGGACAGCCCACCA